GACGGACGCUGGCGGCGUGCCUAAAACAUGCAAGUCGAACGAGGCAGCAAUGCCUAGUGGCGAACGGCGGAGUAAUACAUAAGCAACGUGCCCCGAAGACCGGGAUAGCGGUCCGAAAGGACCAGUAAUACCGGAUGUGGCCUGCUUGAGACAUCUCAGGCGGAUUAAACGGUUUUUCGCUUCGGGAGCGGCUUAUGACCUAUCAGCUUGUUGGCGAGGUAACGGCUCACCAAGGCUACGACGGGUAGGGGGUCUGAGAGGAUGAUCCCCCCGAGUGGGACUGAAACACGGCCCACACACCUACGGGUGGCAGCAGUUGGGAAUCUUGCACAAUGGGGGAAACCCUGAUGCAGCGACGCCGCGUGGAGGAUGACGGAUCUAGGUCUGUAAACUCCUUUUUCAUGGAAAGACUUAGGACGGUACCAUGAGAAUAAGGACCGGCUAACUACGUGCCAGCAGCCGCGGUAAGACGUAGGGUCCAAGCGUUGUCCGGAUUUGCUGGGCGUAAGAGCGCGGUA
rnacentral:rRNA from 1 species